rnacentral:rRNA from 1 species
CGGACCGUCCAGUGGGGAUCGGCAACGAUCAGCACCGGAUGGAAAGCUAGUCAAACUUGGUCAUUUAGAGGAAGUAAAAGUCGUAACAAGGUUUCCGUAGGUGAACCUGCGGAAGGAUCAUUAAUACGUAUGGUGUUGCAUCCUGCACACUCCGUCCCCACUCACUCCGAGUACCUCUCCAUUUGCUUCUCGGAACUAGGGUCUUGCCCGCCCUGGGCGUGGCUCUGCUGAGGGGAACAACCGAAACUCUUUUGUAUACCAAUGCUCUCAGUCUGAGUUUUGUUAGAAGAAACGUUAAAACUUUCAGCAACGGAUCUCUUGGUUCUCGCAUCGAUGAAGAACGCAGCGAAAUGCGAUAAGUAGUGUGAAUUGCAGAAUUCAGUGAAUCAUCGAAUCUUUGAACGCACCUUGCGCUCCUUGGUAUUCCGAGGAGCAUGCCUGUUUGAGUGUCAUGAAAACCCUCAACCUUAGAUUGGUUAUUUGACCUUUCUUUGGCUUGGAUUUGGACGUUUGCCGAUGUCAAGUCGGCUCGUCUUAAAAGUAAUAGCUGGAUCUGUCUCGCGACAUGGUUUGACUUGGCGUAAUAAGUAUUUCGCUAAGGACAUCUUCGGAUGGCCCUGUUGCAGGACUAAAGACCGCUUUCUAAUCCAUUGAUCUUCGGAUUAAUAUUCAUAACAUCUGGCCUCAAAUCAGGUAGGACUACCCGCUGAACUUAAGCAUAUCAAUAAGCGGAGGAAAAGAAACUAACAAGGAUUCCCCUAGUAACGGCGAGUGAAGCGGGAAGAGCUCAAAUUUGAAAUCUGGUAGCCUUCGGUUGCCCGAGUUGUAAUCUAGAGAAGUGUUUUCCGCGUUGGCCCAUGUACAAGUCCCUUGGAACAGGG